ensembl:lncRNA
AUCACCUGGCCUGAGUUAAAGUUUUGCAUAUAUUUCCUUUCUGUCUAAUAAUAAAAUACAAUUAACAAUUACAAAAAAAAAUCAUACAAAAAAAUCAUUACCCAAAAUAACCGCAUCAUAUGUUUCUUUGUAAUUGUAUAGCAAGCGUUUCUUUAGGCUUCAAAGUAAAGCAUUUUUACAGAGUGUAAUUUAGCCAAGGGAGGGGUUCUAAGUAAUUUAGAAUGCCUCCUUAGCCCCACCCCCAGCAGCAGAAAUGCCUGAUGGGAAAUGUAUGCGUUGUAGUCAGAGGAAUUGACUGAGGGGAGUUUGCAGAGGCCUCCCCUUGUGAACAGUAGCCCCAUCAGACAUCCUUAUCCUCAGUGUCUCAUCCUCAUCUUCAUCACUCUCACCUCCAGUGUGGGGAGCAACAGGCUCCUCUCCCAUCAUUUUUUACCUUGUGUGAGUGUGUGUGUGUGUGUGUGUGUCUGUGUGUGUGCUGUACAUUCUCUCGCUUUGGAUUCUCUAUCUCUGUCUGAAGUCAAACUGUAUCCGCUUCCUCCUCCUCCUCCUCCUCCUCGCUUCCUGUCCUCUGAUUAUCGUCCAUCUGUUUGACAAGGCCCUCACAUCUUCACUAGGUUCUCUCAUAGAACACAGACUGGAACCGCACAACCACAGUUACCAUAGAGAUUAGAACCACAUGACCACAGUUACCAUAGAGAUUAGAACCACAUGAGCACAGUCAGUGGAUCCCUCCUAGCUCAGAGAACCGGCAACAGAACCGCAGGAACAGACCUACUGGUUAUCUUCUGCAGCAGACUGCAACCAGACACAAAAAUCACAUGACCACUCUUCAGAGCUAAGAGAGUUCUGCUUUUACACAGCAAUCAAUAAUCACAAUAAUCAAUCUGCAUACCUUCACCUCCCCAGUCAAGAUUUAUUAAGUUAUAGUUCAGUUGAUGCUUCCCAUCGUAGUUUGCGGCCUUGUUAAACUCUUCAUUAGCGCUUGUAUCGCCCCUCAUCAACCCCACCCCCUCCCUCAGCCAAUAGUCAGACUGUCAGAAGUUGUGUCAUUGCUUUGUCCAUUUUAAAUUUGUUUAUUUUAUUCAAUUUUCUGCCGUUUGUUUGUUUGUUUGUUUGUUUGCUCAUCUGUUGGCUAAUGUUAGACUUUACUGUAUUCCCAGAUAC